rnacentral:piRNA from 1 species
AGGUCAGCUAAUUAAGCUAUCGGGCCCAUAA